rnacentral:rRNA from 1 species
GACGAACGCUGGCGGCGUGCCUAAUACAUGCAAGUCGAACGCAGUGGGGACGGGUGCGUAACACGUGGGUAACCUCCCAUCAGAGGGGAUAACACUUGGAAACAGGUGCUAAAACCGAUACUGAUGGAUGAACUCGGGGUGGAUUAGCUAGUCGGUGAGGUAACGGCUCACCAAGGCCACGAUGAAUAGCCGACCUGAGAGGUUGAUCGGCAACACUGGGACUGAGACACGGCCCAGACUCCUACGGGAGGCAGCAGUAGGGAAUAUUCGGCAAUGGACGAAAGUCUGACCGAGCAACGCCGCGUGAGUGAAGAAGGUUUUCGGGUCGUAAAGCUCUGUUGUUAAGGAAGCGGUAUCUAACCAGAAAGCCACGGCUAACUACGUGCCAGCCGCCGCGGUAAUUC